AAUAGAUACCCAGGUAGUCCACGCCGUAAACGAUGAGUGCUAAGUGUUGGGGGGUUUCCGCCCCUCAGUGCUGCAGCUAACGCAUUAAGCACUCCGCCUGGGGAGUACGGUCGCAAGACUGAAACUCAAAGGAAUUGACGGGGGCCCGCACAAGCGGUGGAGCAUGUGGUUUAAUUCGAAGCAACGCGAAGAACCUUACCAGGUCUUGACAUCCCGGUGACCACUAUGGAGACAUAGUUUCCCCUUCGGGGGCAACGGUGACAGGUGGUGCAUGGUUGUCGUCAGCUCGUGUCGUGAGAUGUUGGGUUAAGUCCCGCAACGAGCGCAACCCUUAUUCUUAGUUGCCAUCAUUUAGUUGGGCACUCUAAGGAGACUGCCGGUGAUAAACCGGAGGAAGGUGGGGAUGACGUCAAAUCAUCAUGCCCCUUAUGACCUGGGCUACACACGUGCUACAAUGGACGGUACAAACGGUUGCCAACCCGCGAGGGGAGCUAAUCCGAUAAACCGUUCUCAGUUCGGAUUGUAGGCUGCAACUCGCCUACA
rnacentral:rRNA from 1 species